rnacentral:lncRNA from 1 species
GACAAUAAGCAGAGAGAGAGAGAGCUCCACUCACCAAAGACAAAAUAUAUGCCUAACAGGCACAUCCCCCCAGGGACCCACCUCCUCCAGCCAUAUCCUACCUGCCUACAGUUACCACCCAGUUAAUCCCUAUGGGGGGGGGGGGUUCAUUCACUGAUUGGGUUAAGGCUCUCAUAACCCAGACGUUUCACUUCUAAACCUCUAAACCUGCAUUGUCUGACACGUGAGCUUUUGGGGGACACAUAUCUAAACCAUAACAGUAAGACCCACAGAAGCAGAACCCACUGAUAUGAAGGGCCAACUACAGGUAGUCACUGAAUCUACCCUCCUGGUAUCCCCAACCCAGGGGCCCCCUGGCUCUGCUUUUGUUGGAAUGCCUAAGGGAUAUUUUCCCAACAGAAUGAAGUAAAGGAUCUACAAAUCUAAAACUGCUUAAACAGCUUCCGACCCUCUCUGUCUCCCUUCAUAACUCGUUCCAGAGCCACCCAAAGCUACUAGUCCCUGAGCAUCUUGCAGAAUCAUGAAUCGAUUGUCUUCUCAUGCCCACUGCCUGCAUAAGAUUCUGUUUGCCAGGUUUCAGAAUGUCACCACUCCUCCUGUAUGCUGUCUUAUUUCCCUGUCCUUGAGCUGUGUCUCAUUUUUUUGCCUUUAAAAAAAAUCACUCUACUGCAAUUUUAGUAGGAUUUAGAGGAAUCAGAAUUGGUUGUGCACAUUUAGUUUAUUACCUUCAUCUUUACCUUUUUCAGGGAGUUUUUACAUAAUUAUGGAAUAUUAGCCUCCCGGAAAUAAUAAUAAGAAAAAGAAAGAAACAAACACCCUCUGAAUUUCUUCCUGUCUGUGUUGCAAGGUGCUGGUUCCCCUUUUUCUGUGGGAUGUUUGUGUGGAUAGUUGGUUAUUAAGGAAGAAAAUACUCUGUGUUUCAGGAGGCAGUAACUCUCAUGGGUGUGCUUGGACUUCUCUGAGUUGGACUGGGACCAGUUGAGCCUGUUCAGAGGAAACUGUGGAGAGGCGUGGUGCUGGAGAAUUAGAGGAACUUGGUCUUAGUGGGUAUGGGCAACUUCUCACCCCUGAAAUCCACCAGGUGGCAUGACUGCUCCUUAAAAUUGCUAAAAACUGUGGAAUUCAUAAAAUACUUCAAAGUGUGGGCUUCAGCUUCAAGAGAUAUACUUUUUCUCUGCUUCUUCAAGCACAAGGAUAAAAUGUUUCUGGUCUUUUGACCAACAUUAGACUUUAGAGUUAUGAAUGGGCAUUUCUCCCAGUGUGGAUCCAACAAACUACUGAUGAAAAUUGCAUCUGUACUGAACAUGCCAGUUUUCUUUUCCUUUCUUCUUCUUCUUCUUCAUCUUUUUUCCACCCAUUUUCUUAACAAUACAGUGUAACAUUUUUUUUCCCAUCUUUAGAGACGUUGAAGAUACCGGAGCCUGAGACUGAAUUUUUGAAAUCUGUUUGUUUACAGCACAGUCACUCAAUUUCUUUGCCUUUCUCAAUGACCAAGGAGUCAGACCUUCAAACCAGGCAUGACCUUUAAACUGGAGUAAGAUUGAUGGAUGAAAAUCAAGAGCUGAGCCUGGUAAGAACUGGCAGCAAGGAGAUCUUGCAACUGCCUGGCUCUCUAGUGGCCAGGACAGUUCCUUUUGAAGUAUUAAAGUAGCUUCCUGAUCCUACCUGGACAGCGGAAGCAACUGAAGUCAUUAGCGGAAACACCUUCAGACCCCCUUAUCAUCUUCAUAUCAUCUUCCUGACCUGUGUUUUCAUUGUUCUUUCGUUCAUUUUUAAAGGCGAAGCUGUGUUUUCGUUGCGUGUCCAUCUUUCUUAUCUUCUCCAGGUCUUCCUCUGGGCAUGACUUUUCACAUCCAGACAUACAGAAUCCUUCUUGUUGAACCAGUUAGGAACACGGAUGAAAAUUCAGAACAGAAAACCGAUGACUUAGGUCUUCUUUUUCUUAGGUAAUAAGAAGAAAGAGGCAGAGACAGCCCAGAGCUAGGAUGGUGGCUGCGUGGUGUCACCAGGAAACUUUUUCUGCCUCCCCAUCCUCCCCUGGUGGCUUUUGUCCUCGUGCUCAGUGUCUUUUGGUUGCUCAGUGCUAGGACCUGUAGCAUAGAUCCUGAUUCCAACCUAAAAAUUUUAAAAAGGCAAAAAACUUACUGUAAUUCAGCUUACCUCCUGGUACAGAACUUUCCUGAAAGCCUGCCCAGCAACUUACACCUACAUCUCCUUGACCAGAACUGUGCUGUGUCCUUUCAGGGUACAGAGAAGGCCAAGUAGAUGUAGGCGGAGACACUGCCACUCUGAACAAAAUCAGGGUUUUGUUAGCAAGAAAAGAAAAGAGUGGACAUUGCACAGACAAUCAGCAGCAUCUGUCAUAACUGUCAGAUUAUGAGAAAAUUCUGACAGGCAUUGGAUUGGAAUAAUCUUUCCAUAAAAUAUUUUAGCAGUACCCCCAAGAGCCUUAAAAAUAGUCCCACUCUCAUCUUUCAAUUACACUUCUUGAAGUCUAUCUUAAUAGUCAUAAAUGCAGAUCAAAAAAUUAUAUGCAUAAUUUUUAUUUUUAAUUAAAA